UUCCCUGUUACCCUUUCUAGGUUCCCUGCUAUUCUUAUGGUCAAAAGUUGUCCAAACUGGCCAUCUUGAGAAUAGCCUGUAACUAUAUCCUUUCCCUGGCCAGACUAGCAGACCUGGAUUACAGCGCUGACCACAGUAACAUGAGCUUCUCUGAAUGCGUGGAGCAGUGCACUAGGACCUUACAAGCAGAAGGAAGAUCUAAAAAAAGGAAGGAGUAAUAACCAGGAAGGGAGGAUUCAGAGAGCUUCCAGCCAGAGUUACAUCUGUUCUUGGCAAAGGUUGCACGAUCCAGAUGAAGACUGCAAGCAGCUUUUUUGCAGAAACCCCUUUUCAAGAUGAAGAUUGGCCAAGGAACUUUCUUAAUCUCUGGAACAGAAAGGAAAAAAGGAAAAGAAAAAAAAAGGACAGGGAUGCAUCUUAUUGUUGUUAAGCCAGCCACCUUUUAGUACGUGCAAUUUAUUUAGCACUUUUCCCUUUGCUUAACUGGGAAAUGUUACCCUCUCAGCUCAUGUGUACAGUAAUUUUUUUUGUUGUUGUUGUUGCUGUUGUGCCAAAGAUUUGAUGGAGCUUCUACACUGUGUCUUAUUUUUGCCUUAACGUUAAAUCUUUGAGCCAAAGAAAAGUCAGAGGUGCCAUUCAGAUGGUGGCAAGCAGGCCAGCCAGCUGUUGGUGGCAAAUCCGAAUUUCUGAAUCCUUCUGUGAGUUGCUUCUUAUUUCUCCUGCCCACACUUCUCUGCCUGCAGCCCUGGAGCCAGUGUUCAGUGUGGGCAAGAGCUGGGACAACACCAAAUCAUGCUUCAGCAUUCAGGUUUGCUUCUUUCUUUGAGCUACUCCAUAGUUCUGCCUUUUGGGCAAUUUCCUGAUGUUCCUGUCUGUGCAACACAUGCACAGGGUAGAAAUACUGACACGAAGUGAGAGCUGAAACAGGAGCUAUGAAACUUUUUUUUUAAUAAAUAAACAAAAUAAAAUAAGCAAAAGCUAAGUGCCAUGUAAAAAAAAAAAAGUAAUUAAAAAGAAAGUUCAGCUAGGCAGAGUGAAAUUCAGCAAAACGAUUCAGCAGGUGUUUCAGGUUUGUGAAGUCGUUUUUUCCGUGGGGUUUUUCAAGUGGUCGGAAACCCGUGUAAUGCAAAAGCAUUUGAAUCCUAUACUGUACCUUUCACUUCAAAUUGAAGUAAAAAAAAAA